GAGCUUCUUGAGCAUGCCUGGAACGUUCUAAAUAGUCAUAUCUAUACUAAUUUUUCAGCAUUUAAUAUAAUGUUUGAAGAGCGUCACGCCUAUGAACUGAAUGAGAUAAACGAAUUGAUGGCUAGCCGCAUAUCCAAAGCAACUUUGGUAAUACUAUCCAGUCGUGAGUUUCUUUGCCUCAAUGAAAAUCAGGUGUGCCAUUUGCUAGCAUCCAGCUCUUUGGCAGUAAACUCGGAAAUGGAGUUAUUAUACAGUUCUUUUAUGUGGCUUAAUCAUUUGUGGCCAUGUCGCAGAUCCAGCACAGCUAAAAUCCUAAAAAAUGUUCGAUUUGCUUUUAUGUCUCCAACAAUGUUGAACAAGUUUAAAAAAUUGGAAUGCCACAAUACAGGCACCUUUAGCCAAAUUUUUAAUGAAUUUACUAAUCUACCAAAACUAACACAGCUUAUUCAGGAUGCAUUAUUUUGUAGCACCUUAGUAAUAACCACAAACAACGAACCAACUUACAUUAAAGAAAAUUUAGAAUACACUCAAAUCAAGUCGCUAGCUCCACGUCGUUGGAUGUUCGAUACUCGAUGUGAACAUCACCUAUCAAUGAGACAACAAUGCCCCAACAUGCAAUACAUAUCGUUUGAACAAUUUAAAAAUUAUUUAUAUAUAUUAGAGAAGUCUGAAAGAGAUUUUGACCAGUUCAUGGAAUGUGGAGAUGAUAAUGAUGAUUCCAAGAAACAAGAAGAUUGUCAAAUUGAAACUAGCUUGGGCAAAAUAACGAUACAUUCUAUGUUGAAUGUCAAGCACUUAUCACAGUACAUACAACUUUUGACUGGAAACAUAAAUUUGAAUAAAGCAAUCACAUAAUAUAUACUUGAUAAUUGCAUGUUUAAAAUAAUAUAAUAAAGAAUCUGCAAAUACAGUCGCAUACCAUCUCAA